rnacentral:tRNA from 1 species
GGGAAUGUAGUUCAGUGGUAGAAUAUUUGGCCUAACAAGUGGCAAGGCUCUGGAUUCAAUUCCCAGUACUGUUA